GGUGGCUCAGUGGUAGAGUGCUUGCCUUACAUACAUGAGGCCCUGGGUUCAAUUCCUCAGCACCA
rfam:Dipodomys ordii contig_81046, whole genome shotgun sequence.